GUAGUCAUGGAAGAAGUUGUUAUUACACCCCCAUAUCAAGUGGAAAAUUGUAAAGGCAAAGAGGGGAGUGCACUGAGCCAUGUACGAAAAAUAGUUGAAAAACAUUUUAGAGAUGUGGAAAGCCAAAAGAUACUGCAGCGUUCACAAGCCCAACAACCACAGAAGGAGGCUGCCCUGUCAUCCUGAGUCCACAGACAUGGAGGACUCUUCCAGCAUCCAGCCACAGAGAUGGUGGUGGUGGCUUCAGCGGAGGCAGGCCGGGGGAGGGAAGGGAUCCUAUAUUUCCUGCUGACUCUUACUAAAGAGUCAGUGUUUCAGAAAACCUAGACUUGAACAAACACCCAACAAAAAAAGAACAAGAGAAUAAUUUAAAAGUUGAAUCAUUACUUGACUAACAGA